rnacentral:rRNA from 1 species
AUUGAACGCUGGCGGCAUGCCUUACACAUGCAAGUCGAACGGCAGCACGGGAGCAAUCCUGGUGGCGAGUGGCGAACGGGUGAGUAAUAUAUCGGAACGUGCCCAGUCUGGGGAUAACGUAGCGAAAGCUACGCUAAUACCGCAUACGGAUCUAUGGAUGAAAGCGGGGGAUCGCAAGACCUCGCGCGAUUGGAGCGGCCGAUAUCAGAUUAGGUAGUUGGUGAGGUAAAGGCUCGCCAAGCCGACGAUCUGUAGCU